GACUCUGUAGCUCAGUUGGUUAGAGCGCUGCAUUGGAAUCGCAGAGCUGCAGGUUGGAUUCCUGCCAGAAGGCC